GCCUCUCUUCGGAGAAGAAAGUCUCCAAAGAAAGUAGGCAACAUGAGGAACCCCCCUGGGUGAACACGGGAGCUGCCGAGUGUUCAGGGCAGAAGGCCUGCCUGUAACGAGCAACCCAACUACAGGAUGAAAGAUCAGGUGCCUGUCUCUGGGAGAGUCCUGGUCCUGCCUCAGGAGGCCUUGAGAGUCUGCUCCUCAAUCAGCUGAUUCUUCUACUCAAAGGAACGGCCUUGCCAGAGACCCACCCUUUGAGAGCCUCAAGCUGUCCCC